GACGAACGCUGGCGGCGUGCUUAACACAUGCAAGUCGAACGAGUGGCGAACGGGUGAGUAACACGUGGGUGAUCUGCCUUGCACUUCGGGAUAAGCUUGGGGAACUGGGUCUAAUACCGGAUAGUGGAAGAUGAGCUCGGGGCCGAUCAGCUUGUUGGUGGGGUAAUGGCUACGAAGGCGCGACGGGUAGCCGGCCUGCGAGGGUGUACGGCCAAAUGUGGACUGAGAUACGGCCCAGACUCCUACGGGAGGCAGGAGUGUUGAAUAUUGCACAAUGGGUGGAAGCCUGAUGCUGCGACGCAGCGUGGGGGAUGAAGGCCUUCGGGUUGUAAUCUCCUUUCUGUAGGUAAGCGGUAACUGUAUAAGAAGCACCGGCUAACUACGUGCCAGCAGCCGCGGUAAUAC
rnacentral:rRNA from 1 species